UACGUAGGGCGCAAGCGUUGUCCGGAAUUAUUGGGCGUAAAGAGCUCGUAGGUGGUUUGUCGCGUCCGCUGUGAAAACCCGAGGCUCAACCUCGGGCCUGCAGUGGGUACGGGCAGACUAGAGUGCGGUAGGGGAGACUGGAAUUCCUGGUGUAGCGGUGGAAUGCGCAGAUAUCAGGAGGAACACCGAUGGCGAAGGCAGGUCUCUGGGCAACAACUGACGCUGAGGAGCGAAAGCGUGGGGAGCGAACAGG
rnacentral:rRNA from 1 species